CAUGCAAGUCGAACGGAAUCUUAGGAUUUAGUGGCGGACGGGUGAGUAACGCGUGAGAAUCUAGCUUCAGGUCGGGGAUAACAGCUGGAAACGACUGCUAAUACCGGAUGUGCCGAGAGGUGAAAGACUUACUGCCUGAAGAUGAGCUCGCGUCUGAUUAGCUAGUUGGUGGGGUAAGAGCGCACCAAGGCGACGAUCAGUAGCUGGUCUGAGAGGAUGAUCAGCCACACUGGGACUGAGACACGGCCCAGACUCCUACGGGAGGCAGCAGUGGGGAAUUUUCCGCAAUGGGCGAAAGCCUGACGGAGCAAUACCGCGUGAGGGAGGAAGGCUCUUGGGUUGUAAACCUCUUUUCUCAAGGAAUAAGUUCUGAAGGUACUUGAGGAAUCAGCAUCGGCUAACUCCGUGCCAGCAGCCGCGGUAAUACGGAGGAUGCAAGCGUUAUCCGGAAUGAUUGGGCGUAAAGCGUCCGCAGGUGGCAUUGUAAGUCUGCUGUUAAAGAGCAAAGCUUAACUUUGUAAAAGCAGUGGAAACUACAGGGCUAGAGUGCGUUCGGGGCAGAGGGAAUUCCUGGUGUAGCGGUGAAAUGCGUAGAGAUCAGGAAGAACACCGGUGGCGAAGGCGCUCUACUAGGCCGCAACUGACACUGAGGGACGAAAGCUAGGGGAGCGAAUGGGAUUAGAUACCCCAGUAGUCCUAGCCGUAAACGAUGGAUACUAGGCGUUGCGAGUAUCGACCCUCGCAGUGCCGGAGCCAACGCGUUAAG
rnacentral:rRNA from 2 species